rnacentral:rRNA from 1 species
UACGUAGGGUGCGAGCGUUGUCCGGAAUUAUUGGGCGUAAAGAGCUUGUAGGCGGUUUGUCGCGUCUGCUGUGAAAAUCCGGGGCUCAACCCCGGGCCUGCAGCCGAUACGGGCAGACUAGAGUUCGGCAGGGGAGACUGGAAUUCCUGGUGUAGCGGUGAAAUGCGCAGAUAUCAGGAGGAACACCGGUGGCGAAGGCGGGUCUCUGGGCCGAUACUGACGCUGAGGAGCGAAAGCGUGGGGAGCAAACAGG